AUAUCAAUAAGCGGAGGAAAAGAAACUAACAAGGAUUCCCUCAGUAACGGCGAGUGAAGUGGGAAUAGCUCAAAUUUUAAAUCUGCCUUUUUGGCCGAAUUGUAGUUUCGAGAAGUGUUUUCGGACUUGGCGCAAGUCAAAGUCUUCAGGAUUUAGGCAUCAUAGAGGGUGACAAUCCCGUGAAUGACUUGCGGCUGGGUCUAUGUGAUACACUUUCAAAGAGUCGGGUUGUUUGGGAAUGCAGCCCAAAAUGGGUGGUAAAUACCAUCUAAAGCUAAAUAACGGCGAGAGACCGAUAGCGAACAAGUACCGUGAGGGAAAGAUGAAAAGAACUUUGAAAAGAGAGUUAAAUAGUGCUUGAAAUUGUCAAAAGGGAAGCGCUUGAAACCAGUGAUGAAGCCCAGAACUCAGCGGUUUUCUUAGCCGUGCAUUUUCUGGCUUCAAGUCAACAUCAGUUUGGCUUGCGGGAUAAGGACCAGCGGAGGCACCUAGUGCAAUGCUGGUUGAUAUCGUGAGCUGGACUGAGGUCUGCUUUAAGAGGAUGUUGACGAAAUGGUUUUAAACGU
rnacentral:rRNA from 1 species